GGGAGUGGCAAGCGUUAUCCGGAAUUAUUGGGCGUAAAGCGUCCGCAGGCGGCCCUUCAAGUCUGCUGUUAAAAAGUGGAGCUUAACUCCAUCAUGGCAGUGGAAACUGUUGGGCUUGAGUGUGGUAGGGGCAGAGGGAAUUCCCGGUGUAGCGGUGAAAUGCGUAGAUAUCGGGAAGAACACCAGUGGCGAAGGCGCUCUGCUGGGCCAUCACUGACGCUCAUGGACGAAAGCCAGGGGAGCGAAAGGGAUUAGAUACCCCUGUAGUCCUGGCCGUAAACGAUGAACACUAGGUGUCGGGGGAAUCGACCCCCUCGGUGUCGUAGCCAACGCGUUAAGUGUUCCGCCUGGGGAGUACGCACGCAAGUGUGAAACUCAAAGGAAUUGACGGGGGCCCGCACAAGCGGUGGAGUAUGUGGUUUAAUUCGAUGCAACGCGAAGAACCUUACCAGGGUUUGACAUCCUGCGAAUCUCUUGGAAACAGAGAGUGCCUUCGGGAACGCAGUGACAGGUGGUGCAUGGCUGUCGUCAGCUCGUGUCGUGAGAUGUUGGGUUAAGUCCCGCAACGAGCGCAACCCACGUCUUUAGUUGCCAGCAUUUAGUUGGGCACUCUAGAGAGACUGCCGGUGAUAAACCGGAGGAAGGUGUGGAUGACGUCAAGUCAUCAUGUCCCUUACAUCCUGGGCUACACACGUACUACAAUGCUACGGACAAAGGGCAGCAAGUUCGCGAGGACAAGCAAAUCCCAUAAACCGUGGCUCAGUUCAGAUCGUAGGCUGCAACUCGCCUACGUGAAGGCGGAAUCGCUAGUAAUCGCCGGUCAGCAUACGGCGGUGAAUCCGUUCCCGGGCCUU
rnacentral:rRNA from 1 species